rnacentral:rRNA from 1 species
GACGGAGGGUGCAAGCGUUGUUCGGAAUUACUGGGCGUAAAGCGCGGGCAGGUGGCCUUUUAAGUCCUUUGUGAAAUCCCGGAGCUCAACUCCGGAUGUGCAUAGGAUACUGGAAGGCUAGAGACUGGUAGAGGCGAGCGGAAUUCCUGGUGUAGCGGUGGAAUGCGUAGAUAUCAGGAGGAACACCGGUGGCGAAGGCGGCAUCCUGGACCGGUAUGACGCUGAGGAGCGAAAGCCAGGGAGGCAAACGGG